GUCCACGCCGUAAACGAUGGAUACUAGCUGUUGGGUGCAAACUAAGUGGCUAAGCGAAAGUGAUAAGUAUCCCACCUGGGGAGUACGUUCGCAAGAAUGAAACUCAAAGGAAUUGACGGGGGCCCGCACAAGCGGUGGAGCAUGUGGUUUAAUUCGAUGAUACGCGAGGAACCUUACCAAGGCUUAAAUGUAGAUUGACAGGUUUGGAAACAGACUUUUCGCAAGACAAUUUACAAGGUGCUGCAUGGUUGUCGU
rnacentral:rRNA from 1 species